AUUGAACGCUGGCGGCAGGCCUAACACAUGCAAGUCGAACGAGUGGCGGACGGGUGAGGAAUACAUCGGAAUCUACCCUAUCGAGGGGGAUAACGUAUGGAAACUGACGCUAAUACCGCAUACGAUUGAAUGUGCCGAGGUGGGAUUAGCUAGUUGGUGGGGUAAUGGCUCACCAAGGCGACGAUCCGUAGCUGGUCUGAGAGGAUGACCAGCCACACUGGAACUGAGACACGGUCCAGACUCCUACGGGAGGCAGCAGUGGGGAAUAUUGGACAAUGGGCGCAAGCCUGAUCCAGCCAUGCCGCGUGGGUGAAGAAGGCCUUCGGGUUGUAAAGCACUUUUGUUGGGAAAGCGGUACCCAAAGAAUAAGCACCGGCUAACUUCGUGCCAGCAGCCGCGGUAAUUC
rnacentral:rRNA from 1 species